GGACUCUUGCGCAAUGGGCGAAAGCCUGACGCAGCAACGCCGCGUGCGGGAAGAAGGCUUUCGGGCUGUAAACCGCUUUCAGUAGGAACGAAACUGACGGUACCUACAGAAGAAGGAGCGGCCAACUAUGUGCCAGCAGCCGCGGUGACACAUAGGCUCCAAGCGUUGUCCGGAUUUAUUGGGCGUAAAGAGCUCGUAGGCGGUUGAGUAAGUCGGGUGUGAAAACUUUGGGCUUAACCCAAAGAUGCUACUCGAUACUGCUUUGACUUGAGUUCGGUAGGGGAGUGGGGAAUUCCUUGUGUAGCGGUGAAAUGCGCAGAUAUAAGGAGGAACACCGGUGGCGAAGGCGCCACUCUGGGCCGAUACUGACGCUGAGGAGCGAAAGCGUGGGGAGCAAACAGGAUUAGAUACCCUGGUAGUCCACGCGGUAAACGGUGGUCACUAGGUGUGGGUCUCUACCAAUGAGAUCUGCGCCGUCGCUAACGCAUUAAGUGACCCGCCUGGGGAGUACGGUCGCAAGACUAAAACUCAAAGGAAUUGACGG
rnacentral:rRNA from 1 species